AUUGAACGCUGGCGGCGCGCUUUACACAUGCAAGUCGGACGAGUGGCGAACGGGUGAGUAACGCAUCGGAACGUACCGCGUAAUGGGGGAUAACUGUCCGAAAGGACAGCUACUACCGCCUAUUAUUCGAGCGGCCGAGGUCUGAUUAGCUGGUUGGCGGGGUAAAGGCCCACCAAGGCGACGAUCAGUAGCGGGUCUGAGAGGAUGAUCCGCGACACUGAGACUGAGACACGGCCCAGACUCCAACGGGAGGCAGCAGUGGGGAAUUUUGGACAAUGGGCGCAAGCCUGAUCCAGCCAUGCCGCGUGUCAGAAGAAGGCCUUAGGGUUGUAAAGGAGUUUUGUCAGGGAAGCGUUACCUGAAGAAUAAGCACCGGCUAACUACGUACCAGCAGCCGCGGUAAUAC
rnacentral:rRNA from 1 species